GACGAACGCUGGCGGCGUGCUUAAUACAUGCAAGUCGAACGGACAGGUCCUGCUUUUGUUGGUUUCUCGAUUGCCGAACGGGUGAGUAUCACGUGUGUAACCUGUCCUUGACUUUGUGGUAUCUUCACGAAACUCCGGCUCAUACCCCGUAGGAUCUCUUGCUGCGUGUUGGGGGUUGGUGAGUUUCGGCUGUUGGGUAUGGACUCGCGGCUUAUCAGCUUGUUGGUGGGGUAGUGGCUUACCAAGGCUUUGACGGGUAGCCGGCCUGAGAGGGUGACCGGCCACAUUGGGACUGAGAUACGGCCCAGACUCCUACGGGAGGCAGCAGUGGGGAAUAUUGCACAAUGGGCGGAAGCCUGAUGCAGCAACGCCGCGUGCGGGAUGACGGCCUUCGGGUUGUAAACCGCUUUCGCCUGUGACGAAGCGUGAGUGACGGUAAUGGGUAAAGAAGCACCGGCUAACUACGUG
rnacentral:rRNA from 1 species